UUGGAAAUGUCAGAACUAUGAUCCAAUUAAUUUCGAAAAUUUCACCUCCUAUGGUUCAUGGAUCUUAGAAGAAGAACCUCCUCUAUUGACCAUUGAAGAAGUUCAAGCAUUCAGAGAAUUGGAUGCAUCUUCAAGCAUCCAAGGCAAUUGUUCUAAACUUUUAAAAUACAUAUUAUAAGUUUUUAAGAUAACAAUGUGGAGAUAAAUUUGGAUGAGGCUUUCAUUGGUGAUGAUGAGGAAGAUGAUGAUGAUAUGUCACCACAACAAAACUGAUUGAAUGUUGAGAUGAGUAUCCCAUUUUUCACUGAGAAUAUUGGUGGAGAAACUCAAGUUAAUGAACAAAAUAAGUAGUGCUUGGAGUUUAUUUGGAACUUUGUAUUUGGAAUUUCAGAUUUGGACUUUGUGUUUGGAACUUUUAAGUUUGGAUUUGAACUUUGUGUAUAAACUUUGGUCAUUGUUGAUUGUUUAUUUGCAACUUUGUGUUUGAAAUUUGGAUUUUGUGUUUGGUUUAUGAAUUGUUUAUUUGAUUUGCUUAUUGCUAUAGAAUUUAGUAAAUUUUUGUAGAAAAAUUAAGGUUGAAUUGUACAGGUAUGCUCCUCUAACUUGCUAUAUAGUAUAAUUAUAUAUAUAUAUAUAGUAUAUAACUAUUAAACUAUAAAUAUUUAUUAUUUAUUAAAAAUCUGUGGUUCAACCUCCUUUAUAACGGUUGAACCUCGGACCCCUUGACCCUUCAGCCUUGACGGUUCGAUGUGCGGGUCGGGUUUAAAGACUAUACUCUAUUGUGUAGGUCAUUCACCUAUUACAAUGUUUUUAUGUUUAUGUUUGUAAUAUAGGGUUGGCAGCUCAUGAACAUUAAAAGGGUCCUUAACAAGGUUAUACUUGUAUGAAUUUGUUAAGUAAACUUGUUUAAUUGCACUUAUAUUUUUCUUAUUAUAAAAUUUCUUGAUCAUCUUUGAGGGGAUUGAGAUUGGUUUGUCCAACGAUUUUUGCAUGUAUUGACUAGAGGAGAAUUGAGGGAUUAGCUUUAUCUCUUGUUUAUUUGAACUUAAGAAUCUUUAGUUGUGCUUUCAAGGUAAGUGUAGAUCUCUUGGUAAGUAUUUGUGGGUAUCGCUCAGAUAAACCCUCACUAGACUACAACUUGUCCAUUAGGGUGACCUAGGACUUAAAGGCUUAUUACACGCAUUAAAUGCAACCGUGACCUAGGUGUUUGAGCCUUUUCAACUCUUAUUUUUCUUCGAAAAUAACAUACCGACACCAUUGUCGCGGCAUAGUAGAAGAGGCAAGAAGAGUUUGCUUGACACUCUUCCAAGAAAUAACUACUCUUGCCUGCAUAAGAAUAUAGCCUGAAGUGGAUUUCAAAUCAUCUGAACAUCAUGCAAAAUCCGAGCAUGUGUAACCUAAACAAUUCAAGGUGCUCCAUUUUCCAGUAAACGCAAAUGUAAUCUUUUGUUCUAUGUAAAUAUCUCAUGACAUUUUUUUGUAACAACUCAAUGCUACUAUUCAGGAUUAGAAAGAUAUCACUUAAGGACACACACUAUAUAGGCUACGUCAGGCCUAGUGCUAACUUGAGCAUACAUGACGCAACCAAUGGCACUUGCAUAUGGGAUAUUCUCCAUCGAUUUUCUUUCAAAAUGACCGUGAUCAUCUCUUCUAGAUUCUAGGGUUUCUGGCUUCUCUAUCAUGAUCAUCUCUUCUGGAAUCUAAUAGAUAGAGAUGCAUAUACACUUUUGUUUUAUGUCAUUUUCAUCAAUAGGUUUGUGGAUGUAAAAAUUGGGACGAUCCACACGUCAUUUACUGAGACGGCUGACGCAGCGGCAAGCCUUUGUGAAUCCUGUAAGAACAAAGGGAGUGGUGACCCUUCGUGGCCCGAGGACACUCCGAUGCUCAAGAAGGGCAAAAGAAUUUGCAAGCCAUCUCAGCUAAGCUAGGCAGACUUGUGCACUCUCUCAAGUGCUCGACCAUUUUCAUUCACAAAAAGGAGGUUGAAUACCCUAUAUGGUAUCAAUAUGCAUAAGAUUGUAGAAGUUUUUAUAUGCUGGUGGUGCACCCAAAAAAUAAUUUUGGGGUUAGAAUUUCAUGACAAUUUCGAGACAAAUUUUACCUAUAAAUACCAUUGAUAUCCCCACUUUAAUGCUAAAGGACGAUACUACCCUUAUACUUUAGAUUACAAUUUUUUACUUCUUGGUAAAAGAAGGCAUAAUUAUUUAAUAAUUUUUUAAAUAAAAAUUAUUUAAAAUUAUUUGCA